rnacentral:rRNA from 1 species
UUGAGCUACGGGGGGCAGCAGUGAGGAAUAUUGGUCAAUGGGCGGAAGCCUGAACCAGCCAAGUCGCGUGAGGGAAGAAGGCCCUGCGGGUCGCAGACCUCUUUGGACGGGGAGCAAGGCCGCCGACGUGUCGGCGGAAGGAGAGUACCCGUAGAACAAGCAUCGGCUAACUCCGUGCCAGCAGCCGCGGUAAUACGUAGGGGGCAAGCGUUAUCCGGAUUUACUGGGUGUAAAGGGAGCGUAGACGGCUGUGCAAGUCUGAAGUGAAAGCCCAGGGCUCAACCCUGGGACUGCUU